rnacentral:rRNA from 1 species
AAAGAUUAAGCCAUGCAUGUCUAAGUAUAAGCAAUUAUACCGUGAAGCUGCGAAUGGCUCAUUAAAUCAGUUAUCGUUUAUUUGAUAGUACCUUACUACUUGGAUACCCGUGGUAAUUCUAGAGCUAAUACAUGCAAAAAACCCCGACUUCUGAAGGGGUGUAUUUAUUAGAUAAAAAACCAAUGCCCUUCGGGGCUCUUUGGUGAUUCAUGAUAACUUAACGGAUCGCAUGGCCUUGCGCCGGCGACGGUUCAUUCAAAUUUCUGCCCUAUCAACUUUCGAUGGUAAGGUAUUGGCUUACCAUGGUUUCAACGGGUAACGGGGAAU